UAUGGUUACUUGAACAAUGGAUUUGCAAAUGCAGUACAGCUGAUUUCUGUUUCACAUGGUCAGUUGGAGAUUUCCCAGGCAAAAUUUCUAGUAACUCAGCAUUUGAUUGUCACAUCAGUGAGCAAGGUUCAGUUUGGGGAUUGAGAGCCCUCAGUGACUAUAACACCUAGCCCAUAUUCAAAUUGUAGCACUUGAUUGCUGCCACUGAUUCUUCAAAAUGCCUAUCUUGUAUGGAAUGCUUGACAGCCAAAUGGAAUGAUUUGAACAAAUGCCAAAGGUGAGACAUGCUCGAAAAGCUUGAUAUGAAUGUGUAGACGUAGUUUUGGAAUUCAGAGGUGCAGCCGGCUGUUG